rnacentral:rRNA from 1 species
GGGAGCUUGCUCCCUUAGGUCAGCGGCGGACGGGUGAGUAACACGUGGGUAACCUGCCUGUAAGACUGGGAUAACUCCGGGAAACCGGGGCUAAUACCGGAUGCUUGAUUGAACCGCAUGGUUCAAUUAUAAAAGGUGGCUUUUAGCUACCACUUACAGAUGGACCCGCGGCGCAUUAGCUAGUUGGUGAGGUAACGGCUCACCAAGGCGACGAUGCGUAGCCGACCUGAGAGGGUGAUCGGCCACACUGGGACUGAGACACGGCCCAGACUCCUACGGGAGGCAGCAGUAGGGAAUCUUCCGCAAUGGACGAAAGUCUGACGGAGCAACGCCGCGUGAGUGAUGAAGGUUUUCGGAUCGUAAAACUCUGUUGUUAGGGAAGAACAAGUACCGUUCGAAUAGGGCGGUACCUUGACGGUACCUAACCAGAAAGCCACGGCUAACUACGUGCCAGCAGCCGCGGUAAUACGUAGGUGGCAAGCGUUGUCCGGAAUUAUUGGGCGUAAAGCGCGCGCAGGCGGUUUCUUAAGUCUGAUGUGAAAGCCCCCGGCUCAACCGGGGAGGGUCAUUGGAAACUGGGGAACUUGAGUGCAGAAGAGGAGAGUGGAAUUCCACGUGUAGCGGUGAAAUGCGUAGAGAUGUGGAGGAACACCAGUGGCGAAGGCGACU